UACGUAGGGUGCAAGCGUUGUCCGGAAUUAUUGGGCGUAAAGAGCUCGUAGGCGGCUUGUCGCGUCGACUGUGAAAACCCGCGGCUAACUGUGGGACUGCAGUCGAUACGGGCUAGCUAGAGUUCGGUAGGGGAGACUGGAAUUCCUGGUGUAGCAGUGAAAUGCGUAGAUAUCAGGAGGAACACCGAUGGCGAAGGCAGGUCUCUGGGCUGACACUGACGCUCAUGCACGAAAGCGUGGGGAGCGAAACA
rnacentral:rRNA from 1 species